UAUAGACACGUCAGUCAGUGAUGUGCGCUUACCUGUUAUACAAUCGGUACAAAUAUUGCUGAUGUUCGAGUGAAAAGGAAUGAUCAAAGACGGAAUAAGAGAGCUGAAAGUAAAUCAAAUAAUCUUCCAUGUGUAAUCGUCGGUGGCGAAGGUGGAUUUUAUAGCGAAGAUAAGAUCUUUGCGAAUCGUGCAACGCUCUUUAAUUGCAGAAGUAAUUAACGCGUGCCGCUCAGUGCAACAACAAUGACGACCGUGGACUCUCAGGCCGAUAAAGCUUUGUGUCAUGUUGAUAAGCUUGCGAACAUCGAGGUAGCUGAAAUUCCGUCCGAUCGAGGACUUCCUGCUGGAAUAAGUCCUUUGGAAUCCCGGGUGUCUGGGCACACGUUCGACGAUGAACGUCAGACGAUCGGCAUGUUACGGGGGUCAGAUGGACGUGUAUUUAAACCCGUCGUGAAACCACUGCUUGGCAAAAGAGAAAUUACUUUCUAUGAAAAUUUACAAGUAUCCCAAGACCCUGUGAUGCUACAGCUGAAGAAUUAUGUUCCGAAAUAUUAUGGCACGACAGAUUUACAAGUCUUUGGCAGACAAAUAACAUUCCUCAUGCUGAAAGACAUUACCGAUGGUAUGGCGGAGCCGUGCGUGAUGGACAUAAAGAUUGGCAGACGAACAUGGGACCCCUUAGCCACUCCUGAGAAGAGAGCAACGGAAGAAUUAAAGUAUGCCGAGUCAAAACGCACUUACGGAUUCUGUAUAACUGGCUUUCAAACUUACUGCGCCUCUUCCGGACAGUUAAGAAAGUUCGGCAAACAUUAUGGCAAGACUCUCGAUGCCAAAGGUGUCGUGGAAGCUCUCUUCCACAAGGUCGUCACGUCUAAAUUCGCGCGUGCUACUCGAUAUAUCCCCGACGGUAGAAGAUGGAAAGGGAAGCAAGAAACAGCGAGAAGAAACGGGGGUUGCGAGGGAGGAAAGAGAAUCAGAGCAGCCUGUGGGACGCCGAGCCGCCAAAGAGUCUGGCAACGAGAGCAAACGGGCGCCACGACGUCGCCUACUUUUCUCUCCGUGCAAUAUAUGCAUACGUUGAACACGUAUAAUCGCUUGCACAUACGCGUGCAAGCGGAACAGAGGAAACUGGGCAAGGGAAACGAGAAAGAGACGCAACGUGGUCAGAUGCGUUCCCCACGAAUGUGGCCAAACGCCUCAGCUACGAGGUCACCAUGUCGCAACAUUUCCAACGCUAUUUUUCGCUCAUUUCUCAUCCUCGUUGAUCUUUCGGUUAUCGAGCAACGUCUCUUGCAACUUAACCCCUUGUUUUACAAUCUCGAAUACUACUGGUUAGGUUACACUUCGAACGUGACAAACCUGGGCCAUAUUUGUGACACCUUGAUAUUUUAUGGACUUAUACCUAUGGAGCGUAUUUUAAACCUUCGUUUAAAUCAGAUUUUUAAUUUUGGAAUUAUUCUCGAACUGCCAGGGGAUAUUAAUAGGAAUAGCAAUUAAUUACAGUAAACAGGAGUAUUAUAUUAUUAAUUCAAUAAGUCAUAACAUAAUUUAAGUUUAUAUGUCUUGUGUACAGUGAUACUCUUGUGCUAUUAGAUAUUUGAAAAGUCUUGGAAUUUCAUCGAUUUAAUUUAACGAAUAAGUUACGAAUAAUAUUCCCACGUCACGGGGUUGAAAAACAUUUGCACAGUGUAAGAUGUACGUGCCACAAGAGUAAGCAAAGUUCUAUAUCUACAACCGGAUAACGCGACGUAAAAACUCUUUAAUUAAAAAAGAUACGAGAAAGAAGCAUCUCCGUGUUGAUAGAAGUAUAAAAGUAGCAUAAAAUAUGUCUGUGUUUAUAAGUUGCAUGAACUUUCUGCAACACCUAAUAGAUAAACGUCACGUCCCAGUAUAAAUGAAGCUCUUUGAUCUGACUCUUUCCAUUCAUCGAACAUGUUUAAAACGAAGUACAGUCCGGAGGAAAUCUGACCUGAGGAAAAUGAGUGAGUGUGAAGAUUCGUUUUAGGGGUCUUUCAGUUUCAAAGUCAUAAUUUACUACUAGGUAGUACUACAAUUUAAUUUACCACAAUAGCUAGUACUGCAAUUUGCUUUAUAAUCGAUUAUCCGUAUUCUCGAUGUGUCACUACAUAUUUUUCUCCGAAACUGAAAUACAUAAAAACCAUGUUGAGCCGUAGAAAAUUAUGGCUGUUUGUUGGUAGUAAAAAUCCAUCGAAUCACCUUUGUUUUCUUGUUGCUGCAUGGACGCCUGCCAAUGUUGUUAUUCAAAACAUGAUAAAGUGCUGUACGGUGCAUUGUCGUGUUCACAAAAUAAAAUAUAAAACAUUGGUGAGACAAAACAAUAAUUCGCUUUUUGUCGACGAAAACGGACACGUACCGGCUGUCGACGUCAACGAACAUGUUAAAUUCUGCACUCUGUGUUCGAGUUCAUUGCAUGCAAUGAAAUCGCAACAAAGAAAGUCGAAAGGGUGGCAAAAUGUUUAUGCCUGCGGUAAAAAGUGCUGCGACGUGUUAAACGUUGUAAGAUAGCCGAUGCGGAGAUGUUAUUCUACACACGUCAUGGCGAAGAAGAAUAGCUAAAUCACGAGGAUGGAUAGAUAAAGGGACAGGAACGUGUACUGCGUACUAUUUGGUAUCGCAUCUGCAACUUUCGAUUCAAACAUUGUAAUUAUCGUUGCAAAUACAUCUCUAUAUUCGAGUACACUUAAUUUUCAAACUCACAAAUUUGUUAAUUCUUGAACUUAUAAAUUAUUCAGUUGUUUCAGGGACCUACACUAGGUGUGAGACACCGUGUAUAUUCACAUAUGUUCACAUACGCAUAUAUGUAUACAAUUAUUAUUACAGGCAAUUCAGACUAUCAUAAUUUUGAAUGCGUGUGAAAUUCUUAAAAUUCUUUCAAACAGAUAAUUUAGCAAAGAGUAUAUGAACA
rnacentral:misc_RNA from 1 species